rnacentral:rRNA from 1 species
UACGUAGGGGGCAAGCGUUGUCCGGAUUUAUUGGGCGUAAAGGGCGUGUAGGCGGCCAUGUAGGUCCGUUGUGAAAACUCGAGGCUCAACCUCGAGACGCCGAUGGAAACCAUGUGGCUAGAGUCCGGAAGAGGAGAGUGGAAUUCCUGGUGUAGCGGUGAAAUGCGCAGAUAUCAGGAAGAACACCCGUGGCUAAGGCGGCUCUCUAGUACGGUACUGACGCUGAGACGCGAAAGCGUGGGGAGCGAACAGG